AUCCCAUUAUGAGAACACUUUCGAAUGAAUUCUUUGAAUCUUUCCCACGCCUCGUAUAAGGACUCAUCAUUUAAUUGUUGAAAAGUAGUUAUCUAAUUUCGCAAUUU
rfam:Gossypium hirsutum cultivar TM-1 chromosome 23, whole genome shotgun sequence